GCCACGUGAACCACAGAGGGCAGGACCCAGAGCAGAGAAUGACUUCAGCAGCUUCCAAGAACCAAGCGAACAUCUCCAGAGUCUGGAGCUGCCACCUCUGAGAGCUAAUUGAUGCACAGAGUUGCAACCUGACAUCUGGGGCAUGUGUCAGACCACAACAGAGCCUGUCUUCCCUUUCAUCAGGCCCGGCCGGGGGAGCUGCCGGAGCCCUUGGAGGGAGGAAGAGCUGUAACUUCAAAGGCCGUGUCGCUGAGAAUUCCAGCUACAGCCUUCCAGGGAUCCAUUCAUUCUCACAUCAACCCCAUGAAAUGCCUUCAUGUACUGUUGUCCCCAUACUGCAGAUGGAAUCGUGGAACCUGAAGCACUCGGGGCUGUCCAGGGCGCACAGAACAGGGCUGGCUCUGGUCUAAAGGUUUUCCCCGGGCCGCCACAGUGAAGGGAAAAUUAUGUGAUAUGGGGAGUGGCUCCCAGAUCUCAGAACAUAAAUCUCACCAAGCCAGAACCGAACAAACCAAGUCAUCCCAGAUUCUGCCUUCUUCCUCUGCCUUUUCUGUGAAGGAGGCAGUUUCAGGAGGCAUGGAAAUAAACUAAGAUUUGAACUUCUCUUCCAAAGAAGUGGUCCCCACAUACAUCUUCAGGACAGGUCAACCCUUCCUGAUGUCUUGCUCUUCUCCUCUUUCUGUGGGGUUCAGAGUUAACAUUCAAAGCCACCAGCAUUGAUGUGAACUGUGUACACUGAUACUUUAGAAAGAUUAUCAGCCAUCUUUCAAAACUGAAAGCAAUUUUGGGUGUGACUUUACUCCCUAACAGAAGAGCCCCUACCCCAGCCCUCUAAUCAGCCCAAGUGUCCCAGUCGACAGUCUCAAGGCUUGUUGAUAAGGUUGCUGUUGGGGUGGUUGCCAUGCUGCAUGGAACAGAUCUCCCAGCGGCAGCACCUUCUCUUCUGCAGCAGAGGGGAUCAACCCCGCCAGCACACCACAUGACCGGUUUGUACUACUUUCCUUCAGAGCAGAGGUGGUCCUGGUCUCCCCACAUUUCAUUUCUUAAGUGUAUCUGCGUGUGUGUGUGUGUAUGUGUUGGGAGAUGGUCCUGCCAUGGAUGCCCUAACCAGCUUCUCUCUUGUAGGCAGCUCAGACCAGCCUCGGCUGGGCUCCCUGCCUUGCUGGGAAGCAGGAGGUGAAGCCUCAGAAACACAAUUUGUGGUAUUGGUGCAGAUGGGAACACAUCUGU